rnacentral:tRNA from 1 species
GGGCGGGUAGCUCAAUGGUAGGGCGCUGCUCUCGCACAGCAGAGGUUCCGGGUUCAAUUCCCGGCCCGUCCA